UUUUGUGGUUGAAAUAGAUUAAAAUUAUUAUUUUAAAUCUCAAGAUGAUCAUUCGUGACAUUCAGGGAGCAGAAUAUUCAGAUCAGCAAUGUAUGCAAAGCGUAUGGAGGCUGUUCUUGCAAACCACCUUCUCCCAGCUCCCACACAAGAGUGCAGCUACUUUUACCCUGUAAUUAGUCUUGGCAGGUACAUGACCUCAUGAUUUCUAAUAUGGUGUGGACUAGGAAAAGAAGAGGUGGGUUGCUGAGAGUUCAUUUACAUUUCACCUUCACUGCAUAGCUUGCUCUCAGACAUAUAGGAUAUUCCCGCCUCCCCUCAUUAACCUUGCACGCCAUGCAGCUCUUUCUCCUGAAAAGUAUAAAAACAUUACAAGGUUAAUAUGGAAAUGUAGGUUAAAAAUGUUAUAUGCCACCAGGAAAGGCCAGGAAUUGCUUGGCUGCUACCAAGGGAGAAGACAAUGAGUUUCAGGGGCAAUUGAACACCGAAUUUCCCAUUGUAUCACAGUUAUAGAAACAAAUGUACUGUGAUAAGCAGGGAUUUAGAAAUGUGUUCAUAAUUACAAUACUUAAUCAAAAAACGCAAUCUUGAAAAGCAACAGUAUUUAAAGGCAGAUAAAGCCCAUUGAAUUAAAGAUGUUGCCCGAGUGCAGUCUGUGCUUUUAGUAUAAAUUUGUGGGAAAGCCCCCUUUAUAUUUUAAAAAUGUCAAAUAUGCCUUUUCUCCUAGGCUGAAGGCAAGAAAAAUGAUAAGCAGUAUGUUCUUUGUAGAAGCUGAAGACCGGCAGCACAAAAAUGCCUUCUCUGGAAUAUUAACGAAAAGAUGCUCAAAUGGAAAAUGCGCAUAAGUUGCCAUGUGGAUUAACAGACAUCACAUUUCAGGAAAAUGGAAACACUCUUUUUUAGGAAUAACAUUAUAGAUCUCCAUGCCCAAAGACUUUCACAUACAUUACAACAAUAACCUUCACAACAGCCCUGCGAGGUAGGGCUAUAUUACUGCAGACGGGGGACUGACUGAAGCUGAAAAAGGAAGUUGCUACUUACUCACUUUGUGAAUGAGCUAAUACUUGAAUUGGCUAUUUGCCAAGUUGCAUCCUGGUGUUUAGCAACUGCACUGCACUUUUGUUUCUUCUCUGUUCCUCUUCUCUCACUGACAAAAUUAUUUUUAAGGGUUUCCUAGCUCCUUAGGAGUGUAUUUUGGAUGCCCCCCUAUGGUGCAGGAUAUACCAAAUAUCCCAACUCACACAAGGUAGCUUUUGUCUUCUUUAGCAGAGCCUGACAUUAAAAACAGUCCUAUUUAAGUGACUGGUCUGGCAUCUUGACCUAUGACCUUGUGCCUAUAUAAGCAGUAGGAUAAAGUCUCCUAACAAUUGUAGUGAUGAUUAGGUACUUUGUAAUGUAGGUCAUUUUUCCAUGAAAGAUCCUUAGAUAGCUUUCUGAAGGCCUUGGAAGUUUAAACAUCCUCUUCUGCAUUAACACAUACAAGUUCUCGAAAGAGGAAAAUGACUUUCAGACUCAUAAUCUCAGCCUGUUGAGUGUUCAGCUCAUAUUCUUGGAAAGCAAGCAGAAUGAUCAGCUCAUUUGCAGAAGAUGCUUUUCUCUCCAAGUUGGACAGCAUUUUGGGCAUCCCACAGUAGCUGUGGGGGAUCUUCAGGUAUGGACUCUUACAGGUCUUCCAAAGGCAAACUGAGACACUGUAUGCCCAACUAAGCCUGUGCUGGAAGCCUCACAUCGCCACUUUGCCAUGGGAACAGUGUGAUUUAGACUGAUUGCCAGGACAAGCCUUUAUCUGCAAGCUCACAGUCAGCAAUGGACUUGGUGGCAGAUGCUGACUUUCCCCAACACUGACCUUGUGAAUAGCCACACUGAUACAUACAUAUAUGCAUACUUGCAUAUCUAGAGAGAUAGAGGGAAGGGUAGCUGCAAAUAAAACCAUUAGCAAGUAGCCCACUACAGGGCUGGCCUUCCGCCACUGCACCAAAACUAUAGCGAACAGAUUGAUUAAUAAAUAAAAGUAGACAUUCCUAUUACUAGCUGAAGAUGUUUAAUAGAUGCAUUUGAGGAAGUGGACAUGAGUCCACAAAAGCUGAUGCCAUGAUAAGCUUGGUGGUCUUUAAGAUGUUACACGACUCUGUGAUUUUGCUGCAGUAGCUAAUAUGGUUACCCCACUGGAAGCCAAGAGAGAAGUAUCAUAAGCUAUUGAGGUGCACAGUAUCUUUAUUUAUUUUAUUUAUUUAUCUUGCCCCUUUUCCUUUCUUUUUUUAAAGAAUGCAAUGCAGCUUGCAUCAUUCUGCUCCUUCUGCUCUCAAUGUUAUCCCCACAACAACUAACCUUUGAUGUAGGUUGGCCUGAGAGUCUGUGAAUGGCCCCAAGUCACCCAGCUGGCUCCAUGGAUGACUGGGGCUAGAAUUCAGAUCUCCUGGGUCCCAGUCUCAGUAUCACACUUGUCCACACUGAGGACCACAUUGGAUGUCUUUGAGGGUGCCAGGGCCUACACAUCUGCACACAUGGGAACAUACAUGCCCAAUACACAUACACUGUACUCAUUCACACAUUCAGUUAUGCAUGAGUACACUAGUUCAUGUUCUUACAUGCAUCCCCCCAUACACACACACACACACACACACACACACAGACCUUUUCCCAAGUCCCAAGAAAGGGUCUUCCAUCACUAGUACUAAAGGAAAAUAAAAUCCUUUAACUCCAGUUGGAGAGACUGGAGAUUAGAAAGAGGUUUCCCAAUAGCUUGCAGAGGAAACCCUAGGUUUUCUCAGAGCAGCUGUAGCACUAUUAAAAUCUAUGUGCGGUCCCCAGGCUUCACAAGCCUCACUUGUCCACAGGUUGUGGAUCCUGCUAUCCAUCCAUCCAUCCAUCCAUCCAUGGAAAAGCAGAACUUAGGAGGUGAAGGUGAGGGUGCAGGGGUGUCAAACUGCAGACUGGGGCCAAGCUGACUUGCCUCUUUGCUUAUGGUUGCUACAUGAAACUCCCUUGAUGCUCAUGCUGUUUAUGCAAACUUCUGAUCAUUAGGUGAACCUAUUUAUGUGAAUUUCCAUUCAGGAGGGAAUGCAGAGGAGAAAAGAGUCUCGCUUUUGGCUCCCAUUACAGACUGAAGCAUGAGUGGCUUUAAGUUUCAGAUAUGAAAACACCUGAUAAAUGAGAGAGCAGACAAUCCCUUUGGCAUUGGCUCUGCUCCGAAGUAACAAGAAGGCGAUGCUCGGAACUGUAUAGAUUAUUGCAAGAGCUAAAGGUCUGGAUAUAUGACUUUAUGGAUAUUUGCUUUAUUAUCCGUGUGGGGUUUUGUGGACAAAGAAGGAAGGCAGGGAAAUGUCUGUCAGGACAAGCAGCUCAAUGUUUUACUUCCUGCUUGUGGAUUUAAGUCUUAUAUGUGAGCUGUCUGCAAUAUUAACAGACGGGUUUGCUUUUAAUAAUAUAAUAAUAAUUCAGUUUGCUUACAUUGACAGGCCUAUAAUCCUGCAGGCACAGGCAUAGGUGCUUUUCAGACUAGGUAAAAUAAAUAGCAUAGGACACCUUGUGCCCUUAGAUCACCAUGUGUUGGAAGGGGGUAUGCUGUUAUGCCUACUACCUGUGCAGUUGUAAUGCAUUCAACAGGGAUCUCGCAUAAAUAAAUACACAAAUUCCCCCAGUGAGUUGCACUAAAGUCUUAGAAGGAAAAUGAAAACAAUCUUUCAGCAGGUGUCUACAAAAUUUGGUAUUAACGUUCAAAAGUCCCUGUGAUUUUGCCUUAUAAUGGCAGAGAAGCAGGAACAUUCUGUUUCUACUCUAAAACCCAUGUGUGCCAUUUCAGGGUCCCCAUAUUCCAGCAUGCAUCUUGUGGAGCUUGGAUAUAAUCAUGGGGAUGAUUAAGAAUAAUUCAUUACAGUCAUAUAUGAAGAGGCGCCUUCCUAUGUUGGGAAGCCUGGGGUGUACCUUGCACAAGUAGCUUUACAUAACAAGAACUGCACACAGCAUAUAGUAUUCUAGGGAAUAAACCUUUGCUUGAUCCAGUUUAGAAGUUCAAAUGAACCUCGGCAAGAAAGGUUAUCUAACACGGCUUACCUACGGGCACCACUAACGCUGGGGCUGUGCAAUGGGCAAUGGCAUGAGAUGUGGUUAUUUGGCUUUCAUUGGAGAGAGCACUUGUUGCUUGGUGCUGAGGCAAAGAGGCAAAGAAGAAAGGAGGAUGUAAGAGAAAGGAACCAGCCAAGCUACAGGACACCAAGAGAGACAAGAAGGACAAGCAACUCUUGAUGCAACACACUCUCCAACAUCCUGGAGUGUCUGGAAGCGUGCAGAGCCGUUCCUUAAUCCAACAUGAUCUUAUUAUCCUCCAUCCUGCCUGUGCUAGAGUCCACAAAUCCAAAGGGGUUUUUUUCCACAGACCCUUGUGAAUAUUUUUGGUUAAUGGUUUGGUGAAUAUAUUCACAGUCUUGUCUGAUGUGGGACAAUAGAAUCACUUAACCCCUGUUGUUGUAGAUCUUCUAUUAUAUAAUGUUCCACAUAGACAGGUUGGGUGUGUGCCCUGCUUUUUUUCUGAGAGGAUGAGUCUUAUGCAACCUUGGCUGUUCUCAUAAAUCUGUGUAGGUAUGGGAUCAUCAGCUUCCAAGUAUUCAAGUAGGAGCUUCAGCCAUCAAAAUUGUCUGUGCGCUAAUUUGUCAGCUGUACUUUGGUAGGUUCUUCCUGGACUAAUGCUAUCAGGGCAUAUUAUAAACAUGUCUAGAGUAACUAUUUUUCUCCCUCCAUUGCCUUUGUUAUGUUUUUAUUAGCCCGAUUUUCCUGCCUAACACCUUAAUGUUAGCUAUCUAUUGUAAUGAGAACAAAUGGAAGCUUCACAGUACCUUUUAAUAAAUGCCAACAGAAAAUGUUUUAAUAAAGAUCUCUAUCAGAACAUAGCAAUUCUCAGACUAGACACAGGCGCCUCUUUAAUUUUGACCUUGUUUGGAACACAAUAGAUGCAAGUGAUAUUCUUUAAUGAACAUCAAAGUACUUUCCAAGGAACAAUGACAUAAGUGGCAGUAAAAGUACAGAUAAAAAAGCACAGCUAUUUUUUUUAAGGAGGGGUUCAAUUAUGAAUAUUUAGAUGAUCAGGGAGAAAUGUACAGGAGAACUAAUUUGGAAUGCAAUGAUUUGGGCACAUUCUGUGCUGCACAGACAUAUUUGUGUUAAGAACGUAUCAAGAGGCAUAGAACCAUAGCAUAAAUAACACUGCUGCACCAAGUGUCUUGAUAGGCAGGUUACAGACAACAGAGAAGCAGAGAUAAGGAAGGAAUUGGAAAAAUUCUGCCUAAGGACAGACUGCACAUGAUUGAAAAAGCACUGCUAAAAAUCUUCAGAGGUAAUCCUGGUCAGCUAACCUAGGUCCUCAUAAAAGGUUUUGGCUGAUUUAGGGCAAUCUCAUGUCACCCUCCGUCUUUCUAUAACUAAUUAUAUUGUAUGACUCCUAUCAUUGAAAUAUGUGGUACAGUCCUCUCAAAGAGUGGCAGUUUGCUGUGGACCUGAAGUACUUCCUCUCUGCCAGUGUGGCACCUCUGAGUGAAGGGGAGUGAAUUAGCAAUGUGCUGGUGGUGUGGCUGGAAGAGAUGCAUCAUCCAGUCAGUAGUGGUGUAGUGACAAAACUGUGAGGUGCAGGUGCUCAUCAGGAGAGUUCCCAAAGCCACACUCUCCAAGGAAAGUCCAAAAAUUCAGGCAGUUGGGCUGAUUCAAACCAAGAACAUCAGUUCAUGCCAUUUUCAUCCCUACCAGCAGGUUUUCUGCACACCGGAGAGGUCCUGCCAACCUUGCAGUUCAAAAGCAUGCAAAUGCAAGUAGAUAAAAAGUUAGCACAGGUAACAGCGUUCCAUGCACUUCGGCCACAUGACCACGGAGACUGUGGACAAACGCUGGCUCCCUUGGCUAGGAAACAGAGAUGAUCACCCUCCCCUAGAGUCAGGCAUGACUGGAUGUAACGUCAAGGGGAAACCUUUCCCUUUACCUUUAAGAGGUCUAAUUGCCCAUUCAAGCCAAGCCACCCCAACAUAUUUUGUAUUAGAAGGGGACAAUAUACCGUGGCCGGGGAUAUUCAUUUUCCCUCGGCUAGUAUCAGGAUUUCUGCUAAGCUCAUAGGGAAUCCUGAGCAGCAAUUAGGCAAUUGGUCAAGAAUUCCAGUGCUGCCUCCCUGGGAAUCCCAGCUCCAUGGCUCCACGGAAAGUCAAUGUGUGCCAAUGUGGUGCCCUCUAGAGGUUUUUGAACUAGAACUUCCAGCAGUCUAAGUCAGCUUGGUUCAUGGUGAGGGGUGCUGGGAAUUGCAGUACAAAACAUCCAAGCUGCAGUUAAAUGAAGUGAUUCCUCCAUUCACUUCCAUAGGUGGGGAGGAAAGUCCCCUUGGCUGGAGAUGUGGUGAAAUGCAUCCAACCACCACCACCACCACGACCUUUGAAUUUUCAGCAGAAGGUUUUGCUCCCUAUGCAAACCUAUUGACUUUGCAAAACAAGAUAUCAAAUAAGGUCCAAUGCAAUCUAUUCUACUGAACCAGCACUGUGGGUCUUCCUAUUGAGAAUAAUGUAUUUAUUAUUUAUAAUAAUAAAUGUAUUAUUUAUUUAUUGAACAGUAUUUAUGAAGGGCCCACAUUUAACACAUUUCUCAGUGAGUAUUGAACAAGUCUUUGCCCAGAGCAGGAGACCAUGUUUUUGGGGAUGUGUACUGGGAAAGGUAUGCUUUCUGUAGGUGCUGGAAAUCUGGAAAAGUUGUUUGACUAAUUGGUGAUGGGUGGAAGUUCCAGAGAGUGGAUGCUAUGACACUAAAGGCCUUAUUCUGAGCUAGGAGGGACCAGACCUCUGAAAUCUUGAGCAUCACCAGGAAGGGAUCUUCCAGUGGGUGCAGCACCAGGCAGGACAGUAGGUGAUCUCUUAAGUAUCCUGAUCCUGAGUUGUUUAUGGCAUUGCAAACAAGUACCAAAACCUUAAACCUGACCAGAAGAAUACAGGAACCAGUGCGGUUUCCUCAGUAUAGGUCUAAUAAACUGGUGAUAAGCCAGUGCGGUUCCCAACCUUGUUGUGGGUUGGUGCAGUGAACUGCAGCUUCUGGACCUCAAGCCUAGCCCCACAUACAGUAAACUUCAAUCAUCCAGUUUGGAGAUUGCCAGUGCAGGCAGCACAGUGGUCAGAAAGGGCCAUAAACAACUGUCCUUCCCAGUCUCUGACAAUGCCUGUGUGUCCAGUGACAGCCCUGGAGUGGUACCAUCUCACAGGACAGGAUCCUGUCCUUAGUACAACAGGUCAUAUGCUGGAGUUUCUGUGAAAUACAGAUGUGCCUGUGAAAUACUGAAUAAUCAUGUCAUCUUCAGAAAAUACUCCUGCAAGGUCAACUGGGGAGACGUUGUCCUGUCCUGUAGCCAGCAUUAAGCACCACGUGUGAGUGAGCUGCACAUCAUGACCUUUUCUCCCUCUGAAGCAGUGAACAUUCUUUCCACCAGUCUGGUACGUGUGACUGCAUGGUUAAGUUUGUGACAGCCCAAGAACAUCAAGUGGGUGUGAGUGACUAACGAUAGCUUGUCUUCGGGCUCUGAUUUGAGUGAGUCCUGCUUUCACAACCAUGUGCCUACCCAGGAAGUGCUCCUGAUGCAGCACUGUGCUGGGAGGCUGUGCUUCCCCAGUCUUUGCCAUCCAUUACCAGGAGCUCCUGCCUUGGGGCUUGCACACCAGGUGAAGUGCAGGCAAGAAGACUUCUGGUUGUGCCCCUGCUGCUGUUCACACUAAGCCCUCAGAGCAGAGGGAAAACACCAGGCAAGUGGAGGAAGUGGCUCUGUCUCCUAUUAUUGCUGCUUGCAUCAUCUGAAAGGGCAGGUGAGCAGGCAGUGACAGCAGGAAAGAGGAACAACGCUUGGACAGAAGCAUCUAGGUUUCAGCAGUGGGCCUCCUGCAGGGCUGUAAACCUUGGCAAGUGCCCGGAGAUGCCAACCCAUCAUGUCAAUCUUACGCGAGACUUCUAAUAUGGUAGACAAGUACAACAUCAUCCUCUUCUUGCUGAGAACAGCUGUACCUUUGGAAUUUAGCUGGUGCAGAUGGGUGAGAAUUGUGUUUCAGUUCAUUUUUUAAGGUAAGGUUUUAGCAAAAUUUGUAAAGUUCUUCCUGUUUGGAAGACAUGGAACUUGAGAUUUAAAAAGAAGAACGGGAAAAAGGAAGCUGAGAAAUCCAUCUCUCUCUGGAUGUGUUCUGCUGAGGUGCCCUGGUGUGCUGUUUGAUGCCACUUGUAUCUCCACUGAGAUGGUGUAGGAAGAUCCCCCAAAUGGAGUACCUCACCUUUCAAGGAACUGCAACUCUAACCAAGAGGGAUUGAACACAAAUAUUCACUUAACUCCUGUUUUGUAGGGUGAUGGAUGAAACUUAAAAUUGCAAUGGCAUUCCAUGUGUAUCUACUGACUGAACUCCUCAAUGGGUCUUUUCUACUGUUGAGUAUUCUACAGAUGUGAACCUUCCUGUAUAUAAAACCACUAUGCAGUUAUAUCCUAAAGAGCACUUCACAUAUGAUGUAAAGUUCACAUUUUACAAAUUGCCCAAAUCUUUCAGAAAUCGUAGAAAGGUAAGAAUAUCUGAUGCAUCAUACACCAUCAGACAAUUGAAUUUCAAGUGGAUUUUGCUGUAUGAUCCUUCAAAAACCCUUCUGAUUUUGCAUUCCGGCUUGUUUAGCUAACAACUUUGUUUAAAGCAAAGGCACACAUAUUAGGAAACUUUUGAUGACUGAAAGCAUUUCUACUUUAUCUCAUGCUUCAUUUUACAACAUAUAUUUCUGUGGUUCAUUCACAAAACCACAAAUGCCAUUGAACCUCAUGCUGUCCAACUUGUUUGAUGCAACUUGACCAUUGAUGUUUUAGGUAUCAUUAAAAACACUUGGCAUGUUGAAACCUGCCACCAGCUUUGAAGUUCUUCUGGUACAUGGCCAGCUACUGAAAGAUUUUCUAAUUCAAACUAGUUAGGUGGAAAUCCUUUGACAGUUUUAUGAAUCUUGUUGAAGGCAUUAGCUAUUUCUUUAGAUUUUUAGACUGCUCUGAUGCCUUCAGCAGGAUUCAUCACCUAAUGCCUUCCAGUUGUUUUAGACUACAAAUCCCAGCAUUCUUUACCAUUAACUUUGCUGGCUAUGGUUGGAAUUGAAGUCCUAAACAUCAGGAGUGUUCCAGCUUGUUUCAGGCUUCCUUUUAAGGCAUAAUAACAUCUUUUAGCACAGGGAAUAUAGUUAGAAAUAUAUAGCCAAGAUACAACACCACAACUUCCACUUCCUCAAUAAUAUGUCUGGCUACAGCUUUCCUGAAAGUCAAAUACAAUGGCCCUGCAUCACAGCGAUGAGGUUCUGAAACUUUGGGAUGGUGCACACAGAGUGACCAUUACAUCAGAGAUAUUUUAAUUCCAUCCCUCUGGUACCACCAUAACAAGGCUAUUUUUCUACCCUUCUGUGUCAGCUGUCUUCUGUUGCAUGUUAUUAUUGUGUGUUGGGAUAAGGGGCGUUUCUUCAUACCACCUCCAACUUUCAAAACUCCAGCUUCCAACACACAAGCUUAUAAAAUGUCCAUGAUUCAGUGGAAGACCACAUGCUUUGCAAAAAUGAGAUUACAGGUUUAGUCCCAGUGCCUCCAGUUAGAAUCAAAAGCAAAACAAAAUCUUAUGAAACACUGAUGACAGACUUGCCUUGUGCAUUCAAGAAAUUAUAUACUCCAGACUUAAUAUUUCAAUGAAGGGUCUCUAGAUAAGGGGUGCUGUCCCUCAGUAAGCCUAGGGCCCAAAUUCAAUUGCAGAGAAGUUCAUGGGGCCCACAUUCUAAGGGUGGGUAGAGUCAAAACAAAGGGGGUGUCACCAUCUGAGGAACCUGGAGGAGCAGGAACAGGUUGGCAUGCCAGGCAGGCCUGACUUGACCCAUGGGCUGGCGAUUCAGCACUUCUGCUUUAGAUUGUCAUGUGCUUACCUCAGAAGAUGGGAAGCUAGCCCUGCUGCAUUUGCAAGCCCUCCUGCUUAUUCUCUUUACUGGGGCCCUGGACAUCUAUGGCAGAGUCCUGUCUGGACUACUGCCCUUAUUGAGUCACUGACAGUUACAGUGCUGCAGUAUACAUUAAUGAUAACAUACGGCAAUCCCAUGCCUUAUAGCAAGAAGUCCAGAGGAAGACCAUUGAAAGAGUCCAGAUCGCCUGUUUCCAGUUAAAUAAUCAGGGCUGAAACAGAUUUCUGGCUGGAGACCCUACUUGAAUACCACCAGUCAUUCAUUUGAAAAUGUGAUUGAUCAAUCUAUUGAAUAUAUAUACCACCCAACUGGCAGAUACCCUUGGGGUAGUUUACCAUAAUAACAAGAAAAUUUGUUAAGUGCAAUAAUAACAAAAAGAAGGAACACAACAAUAAAAUGCCAAAACAUUACAAUAUCAAACCUUUAAAAUAUUAGAGAGACCGUGGUAUAGUUAACAAUCAAAGCAAUAGAUAAAUUAUUACAUGCCUGCUAAAAGAAAAAGGCCUGAACCUGGAGUCUAAUGUAUACAGGGAAGAUACCAGGCAGAUCUACCUGGGAAGGACAUUCUGCAGUCUGGAAGCCACACCAGGGAAGUCUUCUCUGGUAGCUGCCCGUCACACCAUUGUUGACAGCAACGCUCAGGGAACAGCCCCUAAAGGCUCUAAACGGCUUAGGACCUGGCUACUUAAAGGACUGCCUUCUCCUGCAUAGACCUGCCUGACCACUAAGAUCUGCGCAGGAGGUCCUUCUAGAGGAGGCAUCCCUCAAAAUGGUUAUAGGACUGGCAAAAAGAAGAGCUUCUAGGUGGCUGCACCCCACUUACGGAAUGAGAUCUGUAGAGAAAUUUGCCUGGUGCCAACAUUACUCUCUUUCUGGCACCAGGCAAAAACGUUUCUCUUUUCUAGGUAUUUUAAUCAUUAAAAAUUUAACAACUAGUUUAAUGUUUAUAUUAAUUGUCCAUUUAGGUUCUCCCCCAUGGUCUUAGUACUUUAUCAUAAUGACCUAUUUAUUGUUGUUGAGAUACUAUGAGUAACUAUUUAAUGUUUUUAUUGUAUUGAAUCAUUUCUAUUGUUGUAAUGAGUAUGUUAUUUUUAAAUAUUGUAAGCCACCCAGAGACUCCAUUAGGAGCAGGGGGUGGCUUAUAAAAGUAAAAAUAAAUAAAUGGAUAAAGGUGAUCUUACCGAUUGGGCAGGAACAUAUGGGGAAAGGUAUCCUUUCAAGAUGAGUGGUUCGAAGCCAGUUAGGGCUUUAGACAUGAAUUGGGCCCAGAAACUGGCAACCAAUGCCAUUUACAUGGCACUGGAGUAAUAUGUUCAAAAUGGCCAACCCUGGUAAACACUACUGAAUUCUGUACUAACUAAAGUUGCCAGGCCAUCCUCAAAGGUAGUCCCACAUCUGAAGCAUUGCAAUAAUCCAGGUGGGAGAUGUACAGUUACCUGGGUAUGGACAAGUAUAGCCAGGCUGUCUCUGUGCAGGUAGGCUUAAAAAUACAACUGCUCUAAGUUCCCAAGUGCAGCAAUGCAUCCUUCUCCCCACCACUUUUGAUUUUAUACUUUGGUGCCUAAAUAGUAAUGCAACAUGGGGAAAAGGUACCAUCCUUAAUAAAAACUCUGGUGACGGGGGACUUCCCUUGUGUUCUCCGACUCAAAAGAGUGUGGCUAACUUGCUGCUCAAGCUGGAAAAGCUACUCGCAGUUGAAAUUUUCUCUGGUCUGAGGACUUUUUCAUGGCUCUUCUCCCAGGUUCUGUGGAAGCAACCACCAUGUUCUGAUCUUCAAGGAGCUUUGAGUGCAUUCUUUGCUCUGGGAAGCUUUCAGAUCAUCUGCCAUGUGCAUGUAGGUGCAUGCACAUGGAGCAAAUCCUAUUUAGCAUCACUUGCCCUAGAGCAUGACUGGGUUUUCCUGAUUAUUGCCUCUAAUAGCUCAUUAUCAAGGCCACCAAGUAAUGAAGAAAGAGUUAACGAAAUGUUCCUUCUGAUGAGCAUACUGAAAAGUACUUUGUUUCAUGGGCUUUCAGAGGCUAGAUGGGUUUCAUUCUCCUCUGUUUCACUUUUAAAACUUCCUGGCUUUUCUUUCACAAAUCACAAGUUUGUCUCCUUCCGGAAAAGCUUUGCCUUUGUUUUGGUGACCUGCAUUCGUUAGUCUCCUAAUUAGCACGCAGCACCGGCAUCUAUUCUCCUGAAAAUGGCUGGACUGCCUUGAGAUCCAAACAUAAAACCGGAAACAUUUUGGCAAAAGCCUGGAGUAAACAAAAGCAGAGCACUGAGAAGCUCGUUUAAGCAAAUUGUGUGUGUGUGUUUUCAGUGUGGCUUCUUGUAAAAUCUCUAGUCCAGCAGCUCAUAGAAUAAAUUAAUCACAACACUUGUUUUAAUGUAAUUAUUCAUGAGUUCACUGUUAAACUCAUGAAUAGUUGCAUUAAGACAAGUGGUUGACAUUCUGAAAGGGCAAUCUUUUCUAUUCCAUACGUGUGUGUGUGUGUGUGUGUGUGUGUGUUCAACAUAUUUCAACAUAUACAUACAUACAUAUAUGUAUGUUUUCAAAAAUAUAUGUUUUCAAGGUUUAUUUAGAUAUUCUUAUUGUGGGUUUUCACAUGCUGAUGAAUUGAGCAGAAAUCUGAAUGAAUGAAUGAACAAAUAAACAAACUGUUAUUCAGC